UAGGGAAUCUUCGGCAAUGGGGGCAACCCUGACCGAGCAACGCCGCGUGAGUGAAGAAGGUUUUCGGAUCGUAAAACUCUGUUGUUAGAGAAGAACGUGUGUGGGAGUGGAAAAUCCAUGCAGUGACGGUAUCUAACCAGAAAGGGACGGCUAACUACGUGCCAGCAGCCGCGGUAAUACGUAGGUCCCGAGCGUUGUCCGGAUUUAUUGGGCGUAAAGCGAGCGCAGGUGGUUUAUUAAGUCUGGUGUAAAAGGCAGUGGCUCAACCAUUGUAUGCAUUGGAAACUGGUAGACUUGAGUGCAGGAGAGGAGAGUGGAAUUCCAUGUGUAGCGGUGAAAUGCGUAGAUAUAUGGAGGAACACCGGUGGCGAAAGCGGCUCUCUGGCCUGUAACUGACACUGAGGCUCGAAAGCGUGGGGAGCAAACAGGAUUAGAUACCCUGGUAGUCCACGCCGUAAACGAUGAGUGCUAGAUGUAGGAAGCUAUAAGUUUUCUGUAUCGCAGCUAACGCAAUAAGCACUCCGCCU
rnacentral:rRNA from 1 species